rnacentral:rRNA from 1 species
AUUGAACGCUGGCGGCAGGCUUAACACAUGCAAGUCGAGCGGAGAUGAGGUGCUUGCACCUUAUCUUAGCGGCGGACGGGUGAGUAAUGCUUAGGAAUCUGCCUAUUAGUGGGGGACAACAUUCCGAAAGGAAUGCUAAUACCGCAUACGCCCUACGGGGGAAAGCAGGGGAUCGUCGGAACUAGUGCCAAUAGAUGAGCCUAAGUCGGAUUAGCUAGUUGGUGGGGUAAAGGCCUACCAAGGCGACGAUCUGUAGCGGGUCUGAGAGGAUGAUCCGCCACACUGGGACUGAGACACGGCCCAGACUCCUACGGGAGGCAGCAGUGGGGAAUAUUGGACAAUGGGCGGAAGCCUGAUCCAGCCAUGCCGCGUGUGUGAAGAAGGCCUUUUGGUUGUAAAGCACUUUAAGCGAGGAGGAGGCUACCUGGAUUAAUACUCUAGGAUAGUGGACGUUACUCGCAGAAUAAGCACCGGCUAACUCUGUGCCAGCCGCCGCCGUAAUAC